AUUGAACGCUGGCGGCAGGCUUAACACAUGCAAGUCGAGCGAGCGGCGGACGGGUGAGUAAUGUCUGGGAACCUGCCUGAUGGAGGGGGAUAACUACUGGAAACGGUAGCUAAUACCGCAUACCAUCAGAUGUGCCCAGAUGGGCUUAGCUAGUAGGUGGGGUAAUGGCUCACCUAGGCGCCGAUCCCUAGCUGGUCUGAGAGGAUGACCAGCCAGAUUGGAACUGAGACACGGUGCAGACUCCUACGGGAGGCAGCAGGGGGGAAUAUUGCAAGAUGGGCGCAAGCCUGAUGCAGCCAUGCCGCGUGUAUGAAGAAGGCCUUCGGGUUGUAAAGAACUUUCAGCGGGGAGGCGUUACACGCAGAAGAAGCACCGGCUAACUCCGUGCCAGCAGCCGCGGUAAUAC
rnacentral:rRNA from 1 species